CCCAAAAUUCCCGUGAUUUUUUCCCCCUGCAGGGUGAAGAUCCCUUCACGGAAGAGCCCCAGGACGGCCCCAAAACCACGGAAAUUCCGGAAAAUUCCACGGAAAAUUCCCAAAUUCCCCAGGACGGCCCCAAAUCCCAGGAAUUCCUCAGGGCCCCCGGGCCCCUCCUGGUGCCCCCGUUCCUGGAGGAGCCCGAAAUUCCCGAAAAUCCCCAAAAUUCCCAGGAAAAUUCCCAAGAAAAUCCCCAAAAUUCCCAGGAAAAUCCCGAAAAUUCCCAGGAAAAUUCUCAAGAAAAUCCCAAAAAUCCCCAGGAAAAUUCCCAAGAAAAUCCCAAAAAUUCCCAAGAAAAUUCCCAAGAAAAUCCUGAAAAUUCCCAAGAAAAUUCACAAGAAAAUCCUGAAAAUUCCCAAGGAAAUUCCCAAGAAAAUCCCAAAAAAUCCGAGGAAAAUUCCCCAAAAUCCCAAGAAUUUGAGAUUUCCCCCCAAAACCAAACUGAGGAGGAAAAAAUUCCAGAAAAAAUUCCAGAAAAAGAGGAAAAAACCCUGGAAAAGGAGGAGGAGAAAACCUUGGAAGAGCCCUGAGAAUUCCAGGAUGAAGAAGCCACAAAAGAGGAAAAAAUUCCUGAAUUUUCCCAUUCUUGAGGAAUUCUCUGCUGGAAUUUGGGGCAAUUUUUAGCGAAAUAAAGCCCCAAAAAUGGGAAAAAAUAAAAAGUUGGAAGUUUGGAAAAAUUCCUGACGAUAUUUUUCAUUUUUUUCCCCAAAAUUCUUCAAUUUAAUAAAGAUUUAUUCCCAAAAA